UUUGAUCGAACCGAGCAGCAGUGCCGCGUCGCGAUCCUGGCCAUAAGUGGCCAGCAGCGCCUGCGCCUC
rnacentral:antisense_RNA from 1 species